rnacentral:misc_RNA from 1 species
GAUGAAGAACGUAGCGAAAUGCGAUAAGUAAUGCGAAUUGCAGAAUUUCCGUGAGUCAUCGAAUCUUUGAACGCACAUUGCGCCCACUGGUAUUCCGGUGGGCAUGCCUGUUCGAGCGUCAUUAUCCUCCCUCAAACCUCGGGUUUGGUGUUAGACCCAAGUUGUGUGAACAACUGGUCUUAAAGACAAUGACGGCGUCCGUGGGACCCUCGGUGCAACGAGCUUUUAGGAGCACGCGCCGAGUUUCAAGGACCUUCCGGGCCGGUCUCCUUUACCAUUUUACAAGGUUGACCUCGGAUCAGGUAGGAAUACCCGCUGAACUUAAGCAUAUCAAUAAGCGGAGGA